CUUGAAUUUACAAGCGGCAUUCUGGGCCAGUGCCAACAUUUCGUCGAAAUUGUGUGGUACAAUUCGAUCGUAACCCCAAGGAAGCAUAAUCUUCUGACCAGAGCUGUGAAGACUUAGGAAAUACUGCUGAUGAAAUUUGCAUAGGCGAGAGUCUCUGGCUCGGAAAAGGCUUUAGGUCCCUUGUAUACUUGAGAGCACGGAUUACUGCUUGAGCCUGCACCACCCCACUAUAGAUCAUUAUGGAUACAAUGAAUUAAUUGAAUUAAGACAUUAAAACAGCAGUAAAAACCAAUGACUGACCUUAAAGUCAAAAUUACGAUUAGGAUCAACACCUUGACACCUUCCUGAUUCCACUUGCGAUGGUGAACGAGUUUUUCGCCAUAGUCGACUGCUCACAUGAAAGAACGUUUACCAUCAGGAUUCACAACGGGCAUAAUGUACCAGUCGACAUUUUGCAAGAGUUUCAAGUUUGCCGGAUCUUCAACGAGCUGUUGAAUAAUGUAAGUCACCACCGCAGGUGAGAUCCAUUCUCGAGCGUGAAAUGCUUGAAACAAUAGAGAGCGUUACUUGUCAAAAUCAAACCUUUUGUAAUUGAUUUUAAUCAGUGGCCUUACUUCCAUCGAUCCAAAUUGCAGGUGUGUGGGCAGAAGUCGAAUUGGAGAUGUGAACAACGUAGAGCGGCCGUCCUUCGUACGAGGUACCGAUAUUAAUCAACUCGACAUGACACGGGUAAGUGUCGGCCAAGUAUUUGAGGUAGACGUAAAUAUCGUCCAGUCGGUGGUACCUGGUCCAGUCCAUUUGGUGAGCUAAACAAUUUCAAUACCGUUACGCGCACUCUUGAUUAAGAUAUCAGCACAAUUGUUAGGUACCUGCAUUACGAUUGGUGGCACUGGCGUUGACGAUGGGAUUCUCGUUUUUAAUUGCCUUCUGCAAGUCCAGGAUUUCAAUGUCGUAGGGCAGUUUAGCUUCUUUCAACUUUUGUCUGACUUCUUUUUGUACGCGGGGUGGUACCAUGAUAUCCACCGGAUCGUCCAAUUCCUUGGUCUCUUUCCAUAUCUCAAGUUCUGCGUUUUCAAUCCAAUUUAACUUGCGACUUAAUCAUUUAAAUAUCGCUAGACUUUACUGUAGUUUUUGAUGAUCUUGAAAAGGGCAGUUUGUUCGCUUUGUGAAUGAGGCGUGAUUGACCAAAUCUGGAAUCCGGAAUACGAAGUGGCAGUGUUCCGUGUUGCUUUGCAUUGUCCGGUUGGAGCGGCGUGACAGGCAAAGAAAACCCAAUUCACGGCGAAUAAAGCAAACAACAACGACAUCCU